CAGGGAUCAAACCCUCAUCCCCUUGCAUUGGAAGGUGAAGUCUCAACCAGUGGACCACCAGGGAAGUCCCUGAGUAAGUGUAAUUUCUAGACAGUAAAUACUAUCUUUCUAUAUAGCUGCUUCCCGAGAGUGAGUUUGACAACCAGUGUGGCAGGUUAACGGAUUCAGGUGUCUGGAGUAUCAUUUCGUGGCUUGCAGGAAUGCUCCAAAUUUCACAAUGCUGCAUCCAGUAUGUCAACCCCGCUCUUCCUGCGAAUUGCUUAUUUCCCUUGCCUUUCUCUUGCUUUCCUAAACGUGGCAAGGAUUUUACUACAGUGUGGAUAUCUGGCUUCUGAUUAGAAACGACAAUGCAGCCCAUAAAAGGUAAUCAAAAUAUCACCUCAAAUAAAACAGUUUUAGAUGAAAAAAGAAAGCACCAAUAACUUUCCCUCUUCGCUUGCCCUCAAAAGUGUCAGAAAGAAAGACAGUUACUCUAAAAGCAAAAGAGGAAAAAACGCUCCAUUCCACCAGUAGUACAGGGUUUACUGUCUAAUGUCACAAAAGAGAAUAAUUAUACUCACCGCCUUGUUUUUCUUCAAAGUAGACUGGGACCAGAGCUACACAGCCCAGCUCAGGAAAACUCUGAAAUGAAGGGGAUGGGAAGUGGAUCACCUGGGAUCAGAACCAGGUUGAGAUGUUUUACUAAAAAGUUGCGUAUUCCUCUGUUUAAUUUCCUCUAGGAUUUAUGACGGCAGAGCCACCAUAAAGCUUUAUUUCCCAGGACAUUCUCUGAAACACCCGCACCAAGGCUCUGCGAACCGCCUCUAGGUUUUGUUUGUUGCAGCGUCAACGUGAACUCUGCGCUUUUGUCGUGGUUCACUGCUAGCGCCUCGCCCUUUUCUUACAGUGACCCAGAGUUAGAGAUUGAUAGUGUGAACUUCACUGGGCCAACACAGUUUCCCAAGGAAAUUCGUGUAUUUAUUAACUAAGGAAAAAUGAACACCUUCUUUUAAGCGUGUGUCUCAGAAGCCUCUGAAUGAUUUCUAUAAAACACAGACAAUAGGAGCAAAUCCAAGAAGCAAGUAGGAGACAAGUAGAUAGGAUCAACUCAGAACAGCUCAAAUGAGACUGAGAACAAUACGGUGCUUUGAUUGAUAAGGUGAUUUAAAAAUUAAAAGAGAGGAGUCUAUCUGAGAGCUGAAUGCCAGUUGCCAGAGAUUGAUGGAUGGCAUGAGUCUUCUUUUCUUUGCAGCAUCUUUCAGAUCAAGAUAUGUUUUCUCUUAGAGUGAAUCUUUAUAAGACAAUCGCUUGACUAGAAGGGGGAUCUGUGUGUGUGUGUGUGUGUGUGUGUGUGUGUGUGUGUGUGUGUGUGUGUGAGUGUGCACAUCCAUGCACUGUUUUAGAAUAGGGCUCUAUACCAAGCAUGCAAGGCUGCUCCAUAGCUCUGCAACUGUCUGUACUUUCCAUAGCUUGUGCACAGAUAAGGUACUCUGAAAACAUCCCUCCUGGGUGAGCCUUCAUUUCCAAUUGUGUCUAUGCACCAUGUGGUAGCCAGCAUGAUUAAGGAAAAAGUGAUUAUAUGAACCUCCAAAUCCAUCUGUCAUGUCACAGGCAUUGAAGAGCCUCACUGAAAAAUUAGCCUCCUCCUUCCCCCAACUUGUGUUUUCCCAUCCUCAAGACAAUACAGGAAGCUCUUAGCUGGGAGAGAAAGGAACAAAGGGGCAAGGAAUUCAAUAAAAAAGAGAUCCUAGGCAAAAUGAAAUAUUGUUUCCCUGUCUGUAUUUCUCUCCAAUCCGCCAGAGCAUUAACUGCUUGCCUGCUGCAUUAUGAGGCAGAAGCGCGUCUAGGAUUUGCCUGCAAUAGACUAAGGUCUCUGAAGCAUCAGGGACGUCCAGAGUGAUGAGUGGUUGGGAACAGAGACUAAACCAGAUAUAAAAAUGAGUCAAAUGUGAAAAAACACUCUUAUUUCCUACUUCUUUGGAAUUUCUCUAGUACACUUGCUUAUUUAACUGCACUGACAGACUCAAAGACUUAUUGGAUUUUUAUAUUCUCUGUACACAUCUGAAGACUUACUGAAAUUGCAUACCAUUUUUUUUUAUUAUUUCCUUGCAUGUGUCUGCAUUUUUUCCGGGAGAGGAUCCAUAGAAUCCUCACGUUUCUUUAAAAAAGGGUCUCUGAUCCUCAAAGUUAAAAUUCACCACAAUAAGGUAUCUGCUGUUCUGUUUAUUUUCUCAAUUGCAGAAGGUUCAUUUUCCAUCAUUGGGGAUUAGGAGUCAGGAGACAGAUUCUGUGAAAUACUUAACCCAAGAACAGACCACAGAGAAGCAUAAGUAAAGUAGACAGCAGAUGCUAAAUUAGAAGAUGAAAGACAAUGGGGUGAAGGAUGUUAGGUUUAUAAGGACAUUUUUCUCAUUUCGCUAUUGUGAUUCAGACUCAGUCAAAACAUUUAAAAUGCACAGUGCAUGGAUUCUGUUGUUUGUAUAAACUAUUUUUUCAAAAGAACUUUAUUUUUAAGUUCUUAUUUCAGUUGCUGGGAGGAAAAGAUGUUGAGUAUUUGGACUAAUGAACUCAUUUAAAAUUUCCUCAGUUGACAUUAGAUUUAAAGAGAAUUAAUUAAAAUGGGGAAAUUGUAGAAUAGUAAACCUGUUUCAGGUUAGGGGCUUUUGAUGGAAAGAAGUAUAGUUUGCCAUGAGCAGGCUGGCUUACAGUUAAUGAAAUUUUUAGUCUGUGUACAUUCACCCUACUCUGAAUGUUUUCUAAAAGUUAAAAAGUGUCAGGGUUCAUAGGUAUAUUUUAGAAUUGAGUAGUUUAACUACAACAGAUAGAAGAGCUAUUUUAGGCAAGACAUAUUCCCAAUAUUGUUACUGAAGAGGCAAGAACUGAACCCUGACACAUCACUCAUUUAUCAGAAUACAUAAAGUAACCUUAAAGACACCAAAACUUCCCUUCAUGAUCAAAACACUCAACAAACUAAAUGGACAGGAACUUCCUCAAACUGAUAAAGGAUAUCAUCUAUGAAAAACUAAAGCUAACCUCAUACUUAAUGUGAAAGACUAAAAGCUUCAUUGUUGAAGAUCAGUAAGUUAACCAUAAAAGUCUAUUUAAUAGCCAUCUGUGGUAGACUGGAUCAAAGUUCCAGUUCUUCCCUUCCUUAGAUAAUAAUAGUAUAAGAUCAAACUAUAUAUAAUUGGCUUUUUUGGUUAAGUGAAAAGUGAUCAAAUAGCAGUUUCACAGGGUUUAACCUAAUGCACACUUACCUCUGGCCACAUCACUUUCCGGUGUUCACCCAAUGGGAGUGGUGUGUUCUUCUUCAGCCUGUCGAUACUGGGCACAGCUCCGUGAUUUGCUUUGGUUACUGAGUGUUUGUGAGCAGAGACUUGAAAUCUGCACAUGUGGUUUGGCUUGCACACCAACUGUUCCUGAGGAGAAGAACAUUCCCUGGGUUGUCACUAGUCCAAGGAGGAUGAGAUACAUAUGGAGUCAACCACAGCCUGGAGCUGAGACCAACAGACUUUCAGCCUGAAGCAGAGCCUCCUCGUCUAGAGCAUCUGAACCCCAAGUCAUCUGCAGAGUUAUAGAAAUGUGAACUUUCAUCCGGAGCAAACAAAGAAUGUCUAGAUUUUCAAAUGAAUUUCAACCCCAGGACCUUCCAAGGGGGCAGUAAGCAUCCUUUGUGUUCCUGGCAGGAAUGAAAGGGGUGAAACCAGAUGAUGCCAGAGUUUGGGCUGGUGUUCGGGUUUGGAAUGCUGGCCUGGAGCAACCCCAGGAGGCAACUUAGAACUGAAAGAAGAUGAUGAAGAACCUAAAGCACAGAAAAGUUAAAUAAGUUGCUCAAACUCACACAACUAAUAACUGAAGAGUUAAGAUUUGAACCCAGACGACUGAUUGUAGAGUCCAUGUUUAUAACUAUAUGCCAUCUGUCUUCACCCUCUGUCUCUCAGCAUCUUUUUCUCUGACAUCCAUGGACAGACACAUUCUUUUCUACUCUAAGGAAAAAACAAAUGAGCCAAAUUGUGCUACAUUAUGGUAGGUAUAAAGGCAGAUCUAGGAUCGGGAUGGGGAAUACGUGUAACUCUAUGGCUGAUUCAUAUCAAUGUAUGACCAAAAAUAAAUAAAUAAAUAAAGGCAGAUCUAGCCUGGAAAUAGGAAGCGGAGUUGGGAAGUUCUCAACUCCACUUUUCUUUAUCUAAAAUACCUGUGGCGGAUGACUUGGUGUUCCAUCCCAGAAGGACUGGGAGACUCCUCUUUAAAGACUGGCUUAUAUGAUGAUUGCAGCUUCACCCCACCCUUACCACCAUCGUCAUCCCCACCCACACAUGUGGACAGUGCUGGCUGGGUAUCUGUCAGUCCCUUGAGUCAGCCAGAUGGUGAGAAAGGAUCAUUGUCCCCCUACUUCCCUCCUCCUGCUUUCCUGACAUUGUAUAUCCUUGAUGGAGAUUUACUUCUUUGCAUCCAGCUAAAGACUCUUAAGAGUCCCUUGGACAGCAAGGAGAUCAAACCAGUUAACAAUCUUAAAUGAAAUAAACUCUGAAUACUAUUCGGAAGGACUGAUGCUGAAGCAGAAGCUCCAA